rnacentral:rRNA from 1 species
GACGAACCGUGCGAACGUUGUUCGGAUUCACUGGGCUUAAAGGGCGCGUAGGCGGGCGGUCAAGUCGGGGGUGAAAUCUUUCAGCUCAACUGGAAAAGUGCCUUCGAUACUGACGGUCUUGAGGGAGGUAGGGGCAUGUGGAACUUCCGGUGGAGCGGUGAAAUGCGUAGAUAUCGGAAGGAACGCCGGUGGCGAAAGCGACGUGCUGGACCUCUUCUGACGCUGAGGCGCGAAAGCUAGGGGAGCAAACGGG